CUUGCUAUUCAGAAUAGGCUCUCUACGGGAGACAGAAUGAGGCAGUGGAGAAUUCAGCAAGGUUGUGUCCUUUGUGGAGAGAGAGAUGAGACGCGCGAUCACUUGUUUUUCGCUUGUCCUUACUCUUAUACCGUCUGGGAUAGAGUCGUUGGCAAGCUUAUGGGACGGAGAAUCAAUCCUGACUGGUCUGAUAUGCUCAGAUAUAUUCGAAAUGGAGCAGCCAAUCUUAAGAAUCAGGUGCUCAUCAGUUUGCUCUUUCAAGUGGUGGUUUAUCAUAUCUGGCGUGAACGCAAUCUAAGGAGAAAUCAACAAGGCCAGAAGGGGACUGAGCUGAUGAUUAGUACAAUCAAUAAGACAGUAAAAAAUAGGAUCUCUUCUUUGGGUUAUGAGGCAGAUCAUAGAUUGGAAGGACUUCUUCGGAGAUGGUUCGAGGUUUUUGAUUGAGUUUGGAGCAUGGAGCUUGGACAAUGGAGCUAUUAACACAAAUUUUCUUUUCUUCCUACAUAUAGAUAUAAGAACCAUUAUUCCUUUUUAGGUUUCAUUCUUUGUAAAUCCUUUUAGUUGAUGAUCAAUAAAUUCAAAAUUUCAUCAAAAAAAUAAUAAUAAUUCAUUAAGGGUAAGAAAGACUUUAACCUCUUUAACUUAUGAUGUGGGAUCUCGAAUGCGAGAAAUCACUUCACAAAUCUAAAAAAAAAAUCAUCGUUAAUAUUCUUCAGAGUAAGCAGAUCACUAUAUUGAUAAUGCCAUAUCUACCAGUUCAGAAAAUUAUAUCUCAAGAACUAAAUCAAAAUCUUUAGGGGGGCCUAUAUAUAAAACUGCAAUCAAAUUUUUUAGGAUAUUGUUUGUUCUCUUAUUUUCUUUUGUAUGAAUUAACUAAUAAAGAAAUACAAUUCAUAUAACAAAAUCUUAGUCUAUUUUACAUAUCUUUAAUAUUUGAAUGGUUUAGGAGAUAAACUUUAAAUAAUAUGUCAAGUAUUUUCUAUAGUAAAUAAUUGAUAAGACUUAUAAUAAUAUGUCGACUAUUUUCUAUAGGAAAUAAUUUACAUCUGGUUCUAAGGAUUGAAAGUUUUCAGUUAUUGUUAGAUUUUAGGACCUUCCAAAUCUUAUAGGGGUACGUAGUUUAUGUUCUUGAUCCUGUUUUCUCAAGAUUUUUUAAGUGCUAUUUUCUUCGGCUUAGAUUUUAACCAAAGUAAACCAACUCUGUCUAUCGAUUUUGGCUUGCAAUGCAUUGAAAAUGGGUCUAAACCGGCUAGAAAUAAAAGUUGCAUUGAGCUUGUGAAUAAUAACUUUGUGGGUUUCGAAAGAUGUUAAAAUGUCUAAACCGUUUGCGCAAAUUACACUUUAGAAGAUAAAAUAACAAUUAACAAAAUAUAUCACUAUUCUUAUUAAAUAUAGACUUUGAAAAUGAGAUUUUGGUUGAUAUCCAAAGAACUUUCAAGAGGAAGUAUCAUAAAAUAUUAAAAAUAGAAAUCAAACGCAAACACUUUUUCAUAAAUUAAUGACCAUACAUUUUUUUUUUGUUAUGAAAUGGAAUGUUCUAAAUAUUAACAUUAAAAUUUACUUAAAAAUUUAAUAAAUUUAUUUGCUUGGAUAAUCAAUUUGUUUCUUUUAAGAUAAUGUGAUCUUCGAUAUAUUGAAUAAUUAAUUAUUCGCUUACAUUAUUUACAAAUUGAUUACUUAUGUCACAUGUUUACAAUCAUAUCAUGUCACAUGUUUACAAUCGUAUCAUAUCAUAGGUUUAAAAUCGUAUCACAAAACAAAUUUAACAAGCUUUAAAAAAAUGACAUAUUUUUAACAAAACAUGAUAAGUCAUAUUGUUUUAAUAAUUUUCAUUUUCUAGUAAAAUAAUUCUUACAAAAUCUCACUAUAGACACAUGAACUCCUUAGUUAAUUGUUUUUAAUUAGUUAAAUUAAUAAAGGAAAUCACAGUCCUCAAAAGAUUAACUAAAGUAAAAUUAAUUAAAUUAAUUAACUAAUAUUUUAAGAAUAUUAGUUUUGCUUAUUAGUUUUAGUUAAUUAAAUAACUGAAAACAUCUUACAAAAUAACUACUUAAAAUACUUAAAGCUUGCUAACUAAAAAUAAGUAUAUUAUUUAAUAUUACUAAAUUUUGUUUUAAUUAGUUAAGGAAAUAAUUGAAAUCAUAUUCCUAACAGUAAAAAAAACUAAUUAACACUUUAUUAUUUAAUUAAUUAAUAUUUCUAAUAUUUGUUUUACUAUUUAUCUUAAAUUAAUUAUGAAAAUCAUAUGUGUCUUGAAAUUUUGUAGGGAUUUGGUUUUUAAAAAUAACAUUCUUAAAAAAUUAUGACAUACCAUCUUUUUAAAAAAUAUGCCAAUUUUUAUAAAUCAUAUCAAGUUAUUUUGUGAUAAUGUUGUAAAGAUGACAUAUGAGCAAUCACUUUAAAAAUAAUAUUUAAGUAGAUAUUAAAUUUCAUUAAAGUCACCUUAUAUUAGAGGAAACAAAUUUGUUAUCUAAGAAAAACAAUGUCUUUACUAAAUAUAAACACAAAUAUACACAUAUAUAUACAUAAUUUUGUAGCCAUUGUUUUUCCUAUAUCUAGUAAAAUAAUUCUUUCCUGAUCAGUUGUAACAAAGCAAUUUCAACCUUUUUUUACUUCACAAUAUCUUUAAAAAUGUCUCAUUUUAUUCCAACAACAUAUGUCAUAUUUCUUGUUGUUUGUUUUAUGUGUUUUGAACCUUGCGCCCAUGCAAGAAAUUUUAAUUCUCCGGGCAUCGAAAAUGUCAAUCCAUUCACAUCAACAAUGAAAGUCGCAGAAGAAAACAUUAAGAAGAAUGUUCCUAAAAGAGAAAAUGGUUAUACAACGGCUAGUAUAAUCAAUGGAAAUUAUGCAAGUGGACCCGAUCCGAGUGGAAGAGGACAUGGUAGACCGCCAACUCCACCACACCAUUGAAAAACAAUCGUUUGAACUGUACAUGGUGGAUAUAAUGUGAAUUAGAUAAUAAUAAUUAAUAAUUAAUAAAAAGUUGUGAAAGUUGGAUUUUGUUCAUAUAUAAUGAAAUCAAAUAAUAAACCAACUGAAAAUAAAGAAAACAAAUAAUACAUUUAACAAUAGAAAUUAUUGUGUAUAUUUUAUAGUUAUACAGAAAAUGUAAACAUCAAAAUUUAAUUUGAACCAAACGAAAAUUAAGAUUAUCAAAAUUGAUCAGAUAGUUGUUUUUUCCCCUCUCAAACUCAAUCAAACUGAAAUUAAUAUCAACCCAUUUUUAAAUUAAAACAAGGUUUAAAAACCUUUUCACUAGUUAAUAUAAAAUACCUAAAUUUUUAUAAAAAUAAUUAUGUUAAACUAGACACGAUUGGAAAAGGCAAAUCGAUUGCGAAAACAACAUAAAUAAUAUCCGUGGACAAAAUUAGAACACCAUAUGCAAACUUGUUCAUCAUUGUAUUUUUUUCUUGAUAUAUGUUGACUCACAAAUCUUAGAAAAAUCAUCGCUAAAAUUCUUCAGAGUAAGCCGAUCACUAUAUUGAUAACACCAUAUUUACCAGUUCAGAAAAACCUAUUACAAAAACUAAAUCAAAAUCUUUAGGGGGGCCGUAUAUAUAAAAUUGUGAUCAAUUAUUUAAGGAUAUUUUUUGUUCUCUUAGUUUCUUUUGUAUGAAUCCUCUAAACAUUAUUUGCAAAGUGAUUUUGACACAUGUCUUCUCUACAAUCAUUUUAACCAAAUAAAUAUGACAUGACAUGCUACAAUUAUGACAUGACUUAUGAUUAAAUGUGACAUGAACAAUUACAUUGAAUGCUUAUUUAUAUUUUUGGUAAACUCUUUAGAAUAUAUGGUAGUAAAUUAUACACUAUCAUUAAAGUAAAUCUAUUAAAGUAUGAUAUUAAAUAAUAUAACAAUAAAAUUAUAAUUAUAUUUUAUAAAUUCUGAAAUAUUAUUUAUUUCUAAUUUUGAAUAAUUAUACAAUUUAUAACUAAAAAGAAUUCCAAAAUCUUUUACAAUUUUUUUUUAAAUUAUAAUUUUUUUAUCGUAAUAUUAUUAGUUUCUAUUAUAUACCAUUUUACUAUUGAUAAUUAUAAAACUUGUAUAUCAUUUUUAUUAAUUUUAUACAAUUUAAUUUAAUAUAUUUUAUCCAAAAGAAAUAGAUAAAAUUCUAUUUCAUAUUAUUAUUUUAAAUAUAUACAUAUCUAUUCUUAGAUAUAAUUUAAAAUAAACAAAAUUAUUUAUUUUAACUUAAUUUUGUGUUCGGUUGAAAUAUUAUUAAGACAUAAUAAAAUUUAAAAAAUAAUAAACUUUAUUUUAAAAAUAAUUUUAAUUUAAAAUUUUUAUUCCUGCACAUUGGUGCUUUUAAACAGUAUAAACUUUAAUAAUUUAAUUUUAUCUUAACUAAUAAAGAAAUACAAUUCAUAUAACAAAAUUAUAGUCUAUUUUACAUAUCUUUAAUAUUUGAAUGGUUUAGGAGAUAAACUUUAAAUAAUAUAACUAGUAGUGUUUCUCUUCUUCCUCUACAAAUUAGCCCCUAAAGGGUUAUUAGACCCUUUUGGAGAUUUUAAAUAGAGGUUUUGGUUUUCACAUGCGAUGAGAUUGCGAUGCCGAAGGCGACUUAGAUCUAGGGUUUCGAUGCGGUUUCGGGGAUGGGAUGUGGGGAGACUAAGGGAUGGAUUGGAGCGGGUUUUUCCUGCUCUUUACCAGGAUAAUGGUUUUGGAAAGCAAAGGAAUGGGAACGGCGAUCCACAGCGAGAAGAUCGAACAAGAUUUAUGGGUUUUAAUGGAAACAGUGGAUUACUAGGGCCUGGGUUUUAGGGCGUUUUACGGAUAGAAUCGAUCUAUGGUUAUCUCAGGUCUCCAAUUGGUGAUCUCCCAGAUUUUCAAGGUAUGAUUUGGUGUCUAUUCUUUAGGAGAUCGUUUUGGAUUGGCUGGGGGUUUCCACAAAGGAAUCACCGAUAUUUGAGAAUUGAUGAUUGGAAAGCCAGGAUUUGGUUUCUUAUUCUCAUCAGAAUCAACGAGAUGUUCGAAGAUUUCUCAGAUGAAUUUCAAGAUCUCUCGGAAGGUGAGAUCGAGGAAAAGGACAAGGAAUGCAUUAAGAUACUGUCUGGUGAAGAUUUCUUAAGUGAGAAUGCUGAGGAAGAUAACCAGAUUGGAGAUAAGGAAGAUAAAGGCCCAGUUACGCUGGAAAUGGACAAAGAGCAGGGGGCUAGGAUGAUGCUGUUUAAGAGCCAGAAUGUAGCAGGUGGAACCAUGAAGAAGAGAAUGGUACAAGGGCUAGUAUCUCCUCGCAAACGUCCUUCGGCUAAAGCGGGUAUCCGACAAGGUGAUGGUUUUAAAAAGGUAGAAGAGACGGUCCCUCAAACCCUUUACCGAGCUCAUCAAAACCCUGAUUUUAUGGAUCGAUCCUUUGAAGAAGAGAAGCUAUGGUGGCAGAUACUGAGAGAGCAGAUGUCCAGAGGCUGUUACCGUUGGUUUCGAUCGGUCUGUUUGGUCAUCAGAAGAAACAUGGAAAAGCUGAAAUACUGGUCUUCAGUGGAGGAAAAUAUUUUGCUCUUGGCCUCAUUAAGCCACAAGUGAAGUCAAACCUUGUUCCUAUAUUGGAAUAAUAAAAAUGUAAGGUGUCCGAAUGGUGAAUGGGAGUUUAAUUGUGGUGUCUCAUUGGUCACAAUUAAUUACCAAAGGAAAGACAGAGAGUGUCGAGGAUAUGGGGUGAAUAAUCAGACUCAGGGGUACGUGAGUCUCACGUCAAAAUUAAUGAUGGUUUAUAAAUGUUUUGGACACUUAUGGUUUCUUCGUAUCCAGCUGUAUUGCUCAACAGAGCUAAUCAGUAUAAAUUUGAGGCGGCUUCUCUGCUGGAAUAAUAGAUGUAUGGGUCGUAAAUGGACGAUAAUUUAUCUUAGGGAGAUCUGGUACAAACAUAAACCAGACUUUUUAUAUUUAUCAGAAACGGAAAAAGAUACAACUUUUGUUGCUUUUUAUGCUUCUUGUAUCUCUCUUUGGAUAUGGUUGAUAUGGACUGUGAAAGACUUGGUAAUGUAUUGGUAUAUAUUUAGGUGGAGGGAGAGAUAUUGGUCUUUGGAUGACUUUGCAAGCAUAUCAAGUCUCCAUAUUAAUGCAGCCAAAUCGUCCUAAUAUGCACCAGGAAGUGGAAUAGCUAACGUAUGUGAGGAAGCUGAGAGAGCUGGAAUUGAAGUGGGACAGCUUCCGAUCAGAUACAUGGGUCUGCCAUUGACUUCAAAGGCUCUUUCUAAGGAGGAUUAUGAGCCUUUGAUAGAUAAAAUCAGAACUCGAAUUCUGUCGUGGACCAACAAGAGCUUAUCUUAUGCAGGGCGCUUGCAGCUUCUCAACUCAGUCAUCUCCAGCAUAGUGAGCUUCUGGAGCUCUGCUUUUAUAUAUUACCUAUGGCCUGUUUGGAUACAAUAGAGAGCCUCUGCAGUGCAUUUAUAUGGGCAGGAGAUCCUCAUCAGACCCAUAAGGCGAAAGUUAAAUGGGAAGACUUGUGUUAUCCAAAAUCAGAGGGAGGAUUGGGCAUUCGGAGACUGCAAGAUACUGUUAGAGUCUUUGCUCUUAGUCUGAUAUGGCAAUUUUUUAAUAUGUCAGACUCACUAUGGGUUUCAUGGGUUCAACAUUAUCUUUUGCAUCAUAGUUCAUUCUGGGAUGUUCGGGAAGAGACAACAGGUUCCUGGAUAUGGAGGAAACUCCUUAAGUUGUGUCCUCUGGCCUAUCAGUUCAUCAGGGUGGAAGUUGGUAAUGGUGAGAAAGCUUUCUUUUGGCAUGAUGAUUGGUUGCGAAUCAGGAAACUUAUUGAGUUAACAGGAGCAACUGGCACAAGGUAUCUAGGAAUAGUUCGUAGUGCUCGGGUGUGUGAUGCUGUGGCUCAAGGCCAAUGGAGAGUGAGGGGACAGAGAAGCCGGCAUUUCCAAGAUUUACAUGCCAAAAUACAAGCAGAACCGGUACCUAAUCAGUGCAUGGGAGAGGAUAGGUUUCUAUGGAGGCACGAAACAGAGGUUUAUAAGGACUCUUACUCAGCUUCAAGAACAUGGGAACAGCUUCGACGCAAGAAAGAAGAAGUGAAUUGGAGUAGUAGUGUGUGGUUCAAACAAGGUGUUCCUCGGUUUGCAUUUAUUGUGUUGCUUGCUAUUCAGAAUAGGCUCUCUACGGGAGACAGAAUGAGGCAGUGGAGAAUUCAGCAAGGUUGUGUCCUUUGUGGAGAGAGAGAUAAGACGCGCGAUCACUUGUUUUUCGCUUGUCCUUACUCUUAUACCGUCUGGGAUAGAGUCGUUGGCAAGCUUAUAGGACGGAGAAUCAAUCCUGACUGGUCUGAUAUGCUCAGAUAUAUUCGAAAUGGAGCAGCCAAUCUUAAGAAUCAGGUGCUCAUCAGUUUGCUCUUUCAAGUGGUGGUUUAUCAUAUCUGGCGUGAACGCAAUCUAAGGAGAAAUCAACAAGGCCAGAAGGGGACUGAGCUGAUGAUUAGUACAAUCAAUAAGACAGUAAAAAAUAGGAUCUCUUCUUUGGGUUAUGAGGCAGAUCAUAGAUUGGAAGGACUUCUUCGGAGAUGGUUCGAGGUUUUUGAUUGAGUUUGGAGCAUGGAGCUUGGACAAUGGAGCUAUUAACACAAAUUUUCUUUUCUUCCUACAUAUAGAUAUAAGAACCAUUAUUCCUUUUUAGGUUUCAUUCUUUGUAAAUCCUUUUAGUUGAUGAUCAAUAAAUCAAAAUUUCAUCAAAAAAAAAAAUAAUUCAUUAAGGAUAAGAAAGAGUUUAACCGCUUUAACUUAUGAUGUGGGAUCUCGAAUGCGAGAAAUCACUUCACAAAUAUAAAAAAAAAAUCAUCGUUAAUAUUCUUCAGAGUAAUCCGAUCACUAUAUUGAUAAUGCCAUAUCUACCAGUUCAGAAAAUUAUAUUUCAAAAACUAAAUCAAAAUCUUUAGGGGGGCCUAUAUAGAAAACUGCAAUCAAAUUUUUUAGGAUAUUCUUUGUUCUCUUAUUUUCUUUUGUAUGAAUUAACUAAUAAAGAAAUACAAUUCAUAAAACAAAAUCUUAGUCUAUUUUACAUAUCUUUAAUAUUUGAAUGGUUUAGGAGAUAAACUUUAAAUAAUAUGUCAAGUAUUUUCUAUAGUAAAUAAUUGAUAAGACUUAUAAUAAUAUGUCGAGUAUUUUCUAUAGGAAAUAAUUUACAUCUGGUUCUAAGGAUUGAAAGUUUUCAGUUAUUGGUAGAUUUUAGGACC
rnacentral:lncRNA from 1 species